rnacentral:lncRNA from 1 species
ACUUGAUUCUCCUUCUCCAACCUACUCCCAAAAAUCGCAUUUCUGACUACAGCAUUUGAAUAGUUUUCCUUUGUUAUCGGUCUCUCUCUCCACCUCGAAGCACUUCUGGAAUCCACUCUUGCAAACGGGGCAACGACGCUUACUUCGGCAUUCAUCAAACAAGUGUCCCUUCGAUCUGCAAUUAUGACAAAUUCCGAAAUUCUUUCCUCCCAUUCUACAACCACAAUCAACCACCCAAAUUAUUGACCAUUAGUGUUUUGCAUGAACGUAAUGAGUGGAGAGGACUGACCAUUGUUAUAAACUCAAUUUAAUGCUAUUGAAAAAGUUGAAAUUC